GAUGAACGCUGGCGGCGUGCCUAAUACAUGCAAGUCGAGCGAAGCGGGGACGGGUGAGUAACACGUGGAUAACCUCCUAUAAGACUGGGAUAACUUCGGGAAACCUGAGCUAUACCGGUUACUUAUAGUUUGAUCCUCGCUGCAUUAGCUGGUUGGUAAGGUAACGGCUUACCAAGGCAACGAGGCCUAGCCGACCUGAGAGGGUGAUCGGCCACACUGGAACUGAGACACGGUCCAGACUCCUACGGGAGGCAGCAGUGGGGAAUCUUCCGCAAUGGGCGAAAGCCUGACGGAGCAACGCCGCGUGAGUGAUGAAGGUCUUAGGAUCGUAAAACUCUGUUAGUAGGGAGGCGGUACCUAAACAGAAAGCCCCGGCUAACUACGUGCCAGCAGCCGCGGUAAUAC
rnacentral:rRNA from 1 species